GAUGAACGCUGGCGGCGUGCCUAAUACAUGCAAGUCGAGCGAACGGACGAGAAGCUUGCUUUUCUGAUGUUAGCGGCGGACGGGUGAGUAACACGUGGAUAACCUACCUAUAAGACUGGGAUAACUUCGGGAAACCGGAGCUAAUACCGGAUAAUAUUUUGAACCGCAUGGUUCAUAAGUGAAAGACGGUCUUGCUGUCACUUAUAGAUGGAUCCGCGCUGCAGUAGCUAGUUGGUAAGGUAACGGCUUACCAAGGCAACGAUGCAUAGCCGACCUGAGAGGGUGAUCGGCCACACUGGAACUGAGACACGGUCCAGACUCCUACGGGAGGCAGCAGUAGGGAAUCUUCCGCAAUGGGCGAAAGCCUGACGGAGCAACGCCGCGUGAGUGAUGAAGGUCUUCGGAGCGUAAAACUCUGUUAUUAGGGAAGAACAUAUGUGUAAGUAACUGUGCACAUCUUGACGGUACCUAAUCAGAAAGCCACGGCUAACUACGUG
rnacentral:rRNA from 1 species